GACUUUCAUACGUGUAUGUGUAUGACUUCUGUGAUGUGUCUGUGAGAGUUUUCCUUCUUACUGUAAGUUUAGGCUACACUGUCCUCCCUAGAGACGUGCAUGAGUUUGAUCUACCAGGCAAAGAAUCGGAGUUGCCUUUGAAGCCCAUGGCAGAACUGGGAAUAAAUACAUGAAUCCCAGGGGGUUCUGUCUGUGUGGUCUGGAUGCCCACUUAAACACUAGUCAAGAUGGAGUGGAUACCGCUGUGAACCCAACAACUUCAGCCUAGGCAAAAGCAACAGGCAUUAGGCUGGGAGCUCAAACCUCAAAGUGAACAGAGCCUGGUUAGAGUCUGGGGACGUGUUGACAGGCAGGUGGCCACCACAAGCAGGUUAUAGAGAAUCCAUCACGUACCCAGUGGGAAGAAGGGCCUUAGGGUGAGCUGCAGUAGCCACCAAAGAUGAAGGCAGAGGGUAUCCAGAGAACAGCUAUGACCGACUAGGAUUUGUUACUUUUUGCCCCAGCUUCAACCUUUGGAGGAUUCUGGGAGUUGCUUGAUAUUCUCUAAUACAUGCCUAUUCCUUCCUCAGUGGGUUAGAUUGGACUCUUGUUCUUUGCUGUUAAGAACUCCAUGUAACAUAAACAUAUAAUGUUGUCCCUAAUUUAUGUAAACAAAUCACAUGCAAAUGAUUCCCUUGUGCCUGGAAACUCCAUGUUGAGUAAUUGAGAUGGAACCCGGCUGCUAUUCAGUAACAAAGUGGUUUUGUUACGUCCUGUGUCGCUACUAAGUAACAUCCGACAUCAUGUCUGAGACCUAAAAACCACUAGUGAGCCCACGACUGAAGGAGGGCCUAGUAUGUAUGUAAUUGGUGAGAAUGGACAGACACAAGGACUACUGUUACUUCUCGAGGCUCCAAUUCCCAAGAAGACAUGGUGUUCAGCUGUAUCUUCGAAGAUGUACCCGUCCAAAGGGAGCUUGGUCUCCACGGGUUAGGCAUGCAGAGAGACACAGAUGUUCACGGACCCCCAACCCACCCGCAAGGCACACUGUCAGAGAUUAGAGCACAAAUACAAACACCCAGGCAAGAUCACAUGAUCACACAGCGAGAGAUUCCUGCAAAGACAAGAGGGAGGCAGGCCCAGAAGAAGCCAACCUCUCCCCACCCUUUUGUCCACAAGUCUUGGUUUUCAGUACGGGAAGAAAACUCUAUUUUAAGCCACCUGAUCCUCGGUAUUUUAUCAUGGCUGCCAUGCGGACUACUACGGAUUCCCAGGUUCUGAAACUUCCCCAAGGUCUCACGCUUAGCGAGAGCCAGAGUGAACAUCAGUUCUCAAGUCUUACACCUUGUAAAUCCCUUAUGGAAUAAAAUAUUUUACAUAUGGAAA